rnacentral:lncRNA from 1 species
GUUUUGUUUGAAAUUGUUACGCUGGGAGGAUCGCCUUAUCCUACAAUAAGUAAUCGUGAACUACUAAAACUUUUGAAGUCUGGUUACAGGAUGGAUCGACCAGAAAAUUGUUCUCAACCUAUGUAUGAUAUCAUGGUACAGUGUUGGAGUGAUGAUCCUUUACAGCGACCAACCUUUACAGAGUUACGCAAGCUUUUUGAAGAAAUUAUUACUCAAGGUGACAGUUAUUUUAGUUUUGACAUCAACGAAGAAAAUAUUUAUUAUAACGUACCCUCAUUCCACAGCAUAUCG